rnacentral:lncRNA from 1 species
CUCGCGGCUGCACACACCCAGUGAGAGAGCAUCAUCACUGCCGCUGGCUGAGCACACGCUGAGGCUGAGAGCUGGGAAAUGGGUCGGCCCUAAAGGGCACUUGCACCCCUUCACAUCCCCUCCCGUGGCUCGGGUCCCGGGGAUCCUUCUCUCCCACCCAGGUCCCUGCUCGGGAAUAGUUAAGGAGUCAAGAGCUUGACAGAAAGUUCAUCCCACACUCAAUGUUGUCUUGAUGAUGGGACUGUUACUCCAACAUGGACCCGUGAGCAUCUGUCUCCUGAAUGUCCGCAAUCUUAAAGAUAUGUGUGUACUUGUGUGUGGAUCUGUGUUUGUGUGCUGUAUACAAACGUGAAUGGGUAUGGAUGCCGGAGGAGAAAGUUGAGUGUUCUGGUGUAUUUACUCUGUCUAAUUCGCUUGAAGCAGGCUUGAACCCGGAGUUCAGCUGGCAGCCAACAAGACCAGCAACACUCCGGACUCAUGCCCUGAUCCUAUUCACAGAGCAGUAGGCGCUCCUGCAGCUACACCCAGCCUUUUAAGGUGGCUUCUGGGAAUCUGACCGCAGGUUCUCCUGCUUGUCAAGCAAGUGUUCUCGCCCACUGAGCCCUGCCCCGACCUGAGAUGCUUUUACGUUUGUUACUAGCAGUGUUCUUCCUGUCACCAAGAAGAGAAUUGUUAGAAAGUGUUGGAAUUACAAGAGUGGAGAAGAUGUGAGCUAUUCUUGUCUUCAUGGCAACCAGUUCCCAAUGAGAUGGCAAGAUGUAUCGAAAGGCA